GACGAACGCUGGCGGCGUGCUUAACACAUGCAAGUCGAACGGAAAGGCCCUGCUUUUGUGGGGUGCUCGAGUGGCGAACGGGUGAUUAACACGUGAGUAACCUGCCCUUGACUUUGGGAUAACUUCAGGAAACUGGGGCUAAUACCGGAUAGGAGCUCCUGCUGCAUGGUGGGGGUUGGAAAGUUUCGGCGGUUGGGGAUGGACUCGCGGCUUAUCAGCUUGUUGGUGGGGUAGUGGCUUACCAAGGCUUUGACGGGUAGCCGGCCUGAGAGGGUGACCGGCCACAUUGGGACUGAGAUACGGCCCAGACUCCUACGGGAGGCAGCAGUGGGGAAUAUUGCACAAUGGGCGGAAGCCUGAUGCAGCAACGCCGCGUGCGGGAUGACGGCCUUCGGGUUGUAAACCGCUUUCGCCUGUGACGAAGAGUGAGUGACGGUAAUGGGUAAAGAAGCACCGGCUAACUACGUG
rnacentral:rRNA from 1 species